GACGAACGCUGGCGGCGCGCUUAACACAUGCAAGUCGAGCGAGAACCAGGGCUUCGGCCCUGGGGAAAGCGGCGAACGGGUGAGUAACACGUGAGUCAUCCACCCUCGGCACCGGGAUAGCCCGGGGAAACCCGGAUUAAUACCGGAUGGCCCGUCUGCCCUUCGGGGCGGCCGGAAAAGGUAGCUUCGGCCUCCGGCCGAGGACGAGCUCGCGUGCGGAUUAGCUUGUUGGCGGGGUAACGGCCCACCAAGGCGACGAUCCGUAGCUGGUCUGAGAGGACGAUCAGCCACACUGGGACUGAGGCACGGCCCAGCCUCCGACGGGAGGCAGCAGUGGGGAAUCUUGCGCAAUGGGCGAAAGCCUGACGCAGCGACGCCGCGUGCGGGAAGAAGGCCUUCGGGUUGUAAACCGCUUUCAGGAGGGACGAAGCCACUCGGGUGAAUAGCCCAGAGGGUGACGGUACCUCCAGAAGAAGCCCCGGCUAACUACGUGCCAGCCGCCGCAGUAAAAC
rnacentral:rRNA from 1 species